rnacentral:rRNA from 1 species
GAUGAACGCUGGCGGCGUGCCUAAUACAUGCAAGUCGAGCGAACAGAUAAGGAGCUUGCUCCUUUGACGUUAGCGGCGGACGGGUGAGUAACACGUGGAUAACCUACCUAUAAGACUGGGAUAACUUCGGGAAACCGGAGCUAAUACCGGAUAACAUAUUGAACCGCAUGGUUCAAUAGUGAAAGGCGGCUUUGCUGUCACUUAUAGAUGGAUCCGCGCCGUAUUAGCUAGUUGGUAAGGUAACGGCUUACCAAGGCAACGAUACGUAGCCGACCUGAGAGGGUGAUCGGCCACACUGGAACUGAGACACGGUCCAGACUCCUACGGGAGGCAGCAGUAGGGAAUCUUCCGCAAUGGGCGAAAGCCUGACGGAGCAACGCCGCGUGAGUGAUGAAGGUCUUCGGAUCGUAAAACUCUGUUAACAGGGAAGAACAAAUGUGUAAGUAACUGUGCACAUCUUGACGGUACCUGAUCAGAAAGCCACGGCUAACUACGUG